rnacentral:rRNA from 1 species
GCCCGCGGCGCAUUAGCUAGUUGGUGAGGUAACGGCUCACCAAGGCGACGAUGCGUAGCCGACCUGAGAGGGUGAUCGACCAUACUGGGACUGAGACACGUUCCACAUUUAUGCGGGGAGGCAGCGGUAGGGAAUCUUCCGCAAUGGACCAAAGUCUGACGGAGCAACGCCGCGCGAACAAUGAAGGCCUUCGGAUCGUAAAGUUCUGUUGUCAGACAAGAACAAGUACCGGAGUAACUGCCGGUACCUUGACGGUACCUGACCAGAAAGCCACGGCUAACUACGUG